UACGAAGGGUGCAAGCGUUACUCGGAAUUACUGGGCGUAAAGCGUGCGUAGGCGGUUUGUUAAGUCUGUCGUGAAAGCCCCGGGCUCAACCUGGGAAUGGCGAUGGAUACUGGCGAGCUAGAGUACGGUAGAGGAGAGUGGAAUUCCCGGUGUAGCAGUGAAAUGCGUAGAUAUCGGGAGGAACACCUGAGGCGAAGGCGGGCUACUGGGCCGAUACUGACGCUGAUGUGCGAAAGCGUGGGGGAGCAAACAGG
rnacentral:rRNA from 1 species